rnacentral:rRNA from 1 species
AUUGAACGCUGGCGGAAUGCUUUACACAUGCAAGUCGAACGGUAGAGGGGGCAACCCCUUGAGAGUGGCGAACGGGUGAGUAAUAUAUCGGAACGUGCCCAGUCGUGGGGGAUAACGUAGCGAAAGUUACGCUAAUACCGCAUACGAUCUAAGGAUGAAAGCGGGGGAUCGCAAGACCUCGCGCGAUUGGAGCGGCCGAUGUCAGAUUAGCUAGUGGUGGGGUAAAGGCCCACCAAGGCGACGAUCUGUAGCUGGUCUGAGAGGACGACCAGCCACACUGGGACUGAGACACGGCCCAGACUCCUACGGGAGGCAGCAGUGGGGAAUUUGGACAAUGGCGGCAAG